rnacentral:rRNA from 1 species
UACGGGGGGGGCAAGCGUUGUUCGGAAUUACUGGGCGUAAAGGGCUCGUAGGUGGCCAACUAAGUCGGACGUGAAAUCCCUCAGCUUAACUGGGGAACUGCGUCCGAUACUGGAUGGCUUGAGUUUGGGAGAGGGAUGCGGAAUUCCAGGUGUAGCGGUGAAAUGCGUAGAUAUCUGGAGGAACACCGGUGGCGAAGGCGGCCCCCUGGACCGGUUCUGACGCUGAGGCGCGAAAGCGUGGGUAGCAAACAGG